AUGAGUUUCUUUGGUUUGGAGGAAGGAUUUCUGGCAGAAGUGACAAGCGAUCACCAGGACUGCUUACAGAACAGUGUAAGGAGGAAUUAUUUGGAACGAAGGGAACCUGAGCUGAUGCCACUCCAAAUGGAUGGGAAGAGGAGAGCCAAUUCUGACUUCUGUGGUGCCUCUUACGAUGUACACGGGGCACAAAAAAGAGUCACGCGCUACUGAGGCCCACAAUGUCGGGACUGCUGUUUCACAGAGGCAAAGUUAGAGACACACAUACCAGAAAAAUGUACAUUCCACCUAAGAGUUGGGGAAAUGUUGCCACCAACACUUUCGCCCUCCUUUUUGGGUCUAUAUUUCACUCACUUCUUUUGAAGUGUUUGGUUUUGCAAGAUACAAAAAGUGACUGAGGUGCUGAAAAUUCUCCGUGUAAGUGAGAGAGAGUUUCCCAAAGAAAAGAGUAGGAAACAGCAGACUAGAAGCUUUGAAAGAAGUGUCUGAGUGGAUAGGAACUGUGGUGGGUAUAAAGAUUGUCUUGCCAAACACCCACUUCCAAUGUCUUCUGAUAUGCUUUCUUGGAUUUUAGGCACUAGAAAGCUAAUGAAAAAAAAUCUAUUUUGUGGAUGUCCUCAUUGCUAAGGUCCUAGAAGUAAUUUAAUCCCUGUCAAUCUUGUGAACUGAGUUAAGUGGAGUAGCGAAAAAAUGUGAGGCAUCUGUUAUGCUGGAGAGAGAUGAUUUCAGAGCCAACAGUCAUUGCAACGACUCAAUGAUUUGGCCAACCAUUGUCUGUUUAGCUUUUUCCUGAUCUUGGUACAGGUGGUAUCGUUCUGGAGGUAGUACCUGUGGGGGAAGUUCUCUGAUUCUGCAGCUUCCUGAUCAGUGUUAGAAGUAGCAUCUAUCUUGGUAGUACAGUUCUUUGCUACGUUGUUGUUGGAAGCUCAACCUAUAGUCCCUUUUUUCAGCCCUUUUAACAAUUCUGUGACAUAUUUAUACUCUUUAAUAGUUUUAUUAAACUAGUUAGAGUAAUAUAAUUUGUCUGAAAUUAAGAACUUGUUGGAAGAUAAUUCUCCAGGGGUCUCCCCUAUUUUUGCUCAUCUUGCUGCCUUUCUUCCUUACUAUCUUUUGAAAGAUGUUGACAUAGUGAACAGCCUUGGGAGAUAGUGAUAGUGUGUUCCUCUAGUGCAAAGAGUAGGAUGCUUACUGUCUAAUAGAAUAAAGCCGUGAUGUUGUGAGCUGCCUUAUAGAGA
rnacentral:lncRNA from 1 species